rnacentral:lncRNA from 1 species
CGAGGCAUCCGACAACAGUAGACUCGUCAGCAACCUCAAAAAUAUUCGAGCUUCUCCUAGAUCGAUGGGAUAGAGAGCCAUUCCGCUCUAUCAGACAUCCCAGCCGAGCUUCAGCUGACAGAUCCGAACUCUCUGGCAAGUCACGACAAUGGCCACUACCCUACUCCACUCUCUGCAACAGAUUUCAUGUAGUUCCACCACUCUCUG